CCUACGGGAGGCAGCAGUGGGGAAUAUUGCGCAAUGGGCGAAAGCCUGACGCAGCGACGCAGCGUGAGGGACGAAGGCCUUCGGGUUGUAAACCUCUUUCAGCGGGGACGAAGCGAAAGUGACGGUACCCGCAGAAGAAGCACCGGCUAACUACGUGCCAGCAGCCGCGGUAAUACGUAGGGUGCAAGCAUUGUCCGGAUUUAUUGGGCGUAAAGAGCUCGUAGGCGGCUUGUCACGUCGGAUGUGAAAACUCGGGGCUCAACCCCGAGCCUGCAUUCGAUACGGGCUAGCUAGAGUGUUGCAGGGGAGACUGGAAUUCCUGGUGUAGCGGUGAAAUGCGCAGAUAUCAGGAGGAACACCGGUGGCGAAGGCGGGUCUCUGGGCAACUACUGACGCUGAGGAGCGAAAGCGUGGGGAGCGAACAGGAUUAGAUACCCUGGUAGUCCACGCCGUAAACGGUGGGCGCUAGGUGUGGGGAACCUUCCACGUUCUCUGUGCCGUAGCUAACGCAUUAAGCGCCCCGCCUGGGGAGUACGGCCGCAAGGCUAAAACUUAAAGGAAUUGACGGCNGAGACGUGCCGACGACGACGACGAGGGAGUAGG
rnacentral:rRNA from 1 species